rnacentral:rRNA from 1 species
ACUUGGGUGCUGCAUUUCAAACUGGAUAUCUAGAGUGUGGGAGAGGAGAAUGGAAUUCCUAGUGUAGCGGUGAAAUGCGUAGAGAUUAGGAAGAACACCAGUGGCGAAGGCGAUUCUCUGGACCAUAACUGACGCUGAGGCAUGAAAGCGUGGGUAGCAAACAGGAUUAGAUACCCUGGUAGUCCACGCCGUAAACGAUGAGUACUAGGUGUAGGAGGUAUCGACUCCUUCUGUGCCGCAGUUAACACAAUAAGUACUCCGCCUGGGAAGUACGAUCGCAAGAUUAAAACUCAAAGGAAUUGACGGGGGCCCGCACAAGCGGUGGAGCAUGUGGUUCAAUUCGACGCAACGCGAAGAACCUUACCAGCCCUUGACAUGUGACUCGCCGGGACCAGAGACGGUCCCUUCGGUUCGG